AAACUAUCUGACAGCGUAAAGUUGCUUGUCACGGCAGAGGGUUAUGUGCUGUGACACGCUGUGGCAGUUUGAUGAAAUCUCCUGUGAGUGAUUACACUGUCAUUGUGACCAAGAUUAAAGUAAAGAUGGAGUUUCCCAGAACCCUGAAGCUGAGAUGACACUACCAGUUGCCCAGCCUCAGGGCAGAUCAGGGGCAGAGGGAUAAACUGUCACCCUGGAGGGGUUGAGGAGCUGUCUCAGGUGUCAGGUUAUUAUACUGCUAUGAGAGGAUCCUGAGAGCUCUUCUGCAGUGUGCUGUGAAUGUUCAGACCACUGCGGUCUUGCUCCUUCAUGUGGGAUUAUAAAUGUAAUGGUGUGAAUUCUUACAGGAUGAAAGAGAUCUUGAGCAAAUGUGCACUUUUGUGUCGGUGAGAGGGUGUCAUUCUCUGGAAAAUAGCAGCAUGUGUGCCUGAUUUUUUUUUUUUUUCAGGAAAAUGUUAAUAUUUGAAU